UUUCAUCCAAAAUCAGAACCCACCCAACUAGAAUCCUAAUCCCUAAUUUCAUUACAACUGAAAACAACCCCCAACGACACCAUCCACCCUAGCCCCUUCCAUCACUUCACCGCCAUCACACCCUUAGGACCGCCGGCUAAAGACAUCACCGACGCCGCUGCCUCACAUGCACCAUCUCAUCUAUUACCUUUUUCCCUACGUUUGAGAGCUUUCACAGCUCUGUUGAUGACUGCGAAAAGGAAAACUCGAAGAUCUUUCAGAUUGAAGAUUACUUUGUCUUCAAUUCAAUGGGUAAUAAAGGAAUCAGCCAUCAGACCCAAAAACCAUGGAGGGAUCUCUAAAUUCGGAGUCCCAAUGAACCUCUAGAUUUCAAAUCAUCUCUGAAAAGUUCUCGGCUGAGCAAAGACCACUUCAAGCGGAUUCCGAGACUCGACGACGAUAAUAGCCUCAGUUCACUGUCACGGAGAAGGUAAUCACACUCCUCCUCUCUUCGUCUUUCAUUUUAUAAGAAGUAGAAAUGUAGUCGUCAAGUAUCUCUCGUCGUUUACUUGGUUUAGUUGGCUGGAAUGUGUUCUCUCUUCGUUUGUUGUAAAUUAGUGUAAGGCGACUAAUUUCAUUGAAUAUGUGUUUAACCUCGUCGCUUGGCUAACUCUAUGUUUCAAUCAUUUUUUUUUUGUCCGUGACGUUCCUAUUUCUAACAUAAAUCAGUGAAAAAAAUGACCUAUAGAAACCAUGAAUUUAACAAGGGAACUACUGAUUUGUGAGAGUGUAAUAUGAGCUUCUAUGCAGAUUCGGUAUUCCCUUUGUCGUUAUCUUCUCGUAUGAUCAAGUAAAUAUUUUCAUUUUAAAAAAAAAAGACAGUUCUACUUCUUUUCCCAUAGAAAUUUGUAAUGUUAUCAUGGUUAAGGUGAUGGGAUAAUUCUUGUUAAGUAUAUUUUGAGUUGGAAUCUAGACAUAUAUGAAAACUUCUCCUCGUUUCAUUUUCGGUUUACAGAAUUAACAUGUAGUCGUUUGAUUAUCUAGGCUGGUUCAUUUUUUUGAGUUCUGUACAUUUUUGGGUCUGUUUUCGUUAAAAAAAAAACAAUAGCAGAUGAGCCAUCCUGAAUGUCAGCAUGUGAAAGGCUAAUAAAAACUAAGGGCGUUUAGGAAGGAAACCACUGACUUAUAUAAAUUCGCAUUAGUUGAAACUUCUAGUUGUUGAAGUAACUUUAUCGCUUUUGUAUAUCUUCUUUCUUCAAAUACUCUUAAGGAUUGUUAUGCCGUGAUUUUGUCUAGAAACCUGUAUGUGAAUAUAUGAUGUCUUAUAACUGAAAAGAAAAGGUUAUUAAGUUCGAUCAAAUAAAAGGGUGAUGUUUUGUUCGAGAGAAAAAGUUAUUAUUUUUAAGGAAAAGUUACUGUUUUGAUAUAAAAAGAAAGCUACUGUUUUUUUUAACUAAAAUAGCUACUGUUUUUGGGUUAAAAAGUUACUGUUUUGGUUGGGGAAAAUUACUGGUUUAAAAAAAAAAUCUAAAAAUUGUUUGCUUGUCGAUUUACUUGUGUGAAUGAAACAUCAGUACUAGAAUAUAGUAACUAUCUUGGUGUUCUUAUGAGUUGAUGAUGCGAACUUGUCUAAAGGCAAAAUUUGCAAAGAUUUGUGAGAACUUAGGCUGUUUUUGCUUUAAAAAGUAUAGGAGAUAACAUGAAGUACUAUAUCUUUUUAUAAGCUUUGUUUUACAAACUGAACUGGCUUCUUGCUAAAAAUUAAAAAAAAAAUAAUCCAAAACUGCUAAGGGAUGUAUUCGAGACUAAGUUACUGUUGCGUCUUUUCUUCUGAAACUAACAAAUGGGCAGGAUAGUAAAAUGGUCGUGCACUACUUAAGUUUGUGGAAAACUUAUCUUAAAUUGAUAUUGUGUUAUGUUAGAAGGUAGCAAUAAGGUUUUGGUGUGAAUUUGGAACAAUUUAUAUCAAACAUGUAAACACCCUCGUCUCUCAUUUCGUUUCGGUUUGCAGAAUUAAGAUAUAAUCAUUCGAGUAUUUUCGACGUUUUACACAAGUCUCUGCUAAGUGUAUGCACAAAUCGGUUAUUUUGCCUCUAUUUUUUAUGAGUCCGUUUAUAAAAGGCUAACAUAGACUAUGGGCUUGUUAUGAUAAAUAAGUGAUUUGCUAGAAUAAAAAGAAGAAGAAAAUAGUUGUGUAUUAUUGAACUUGAGACUGUUUACUCUUUUGAGAAUGCAUGAGAUAAGUUGAAGUAUAAAAUUGUCUUAAGUCAAACCCAGCUGUGACUUGGAUCUGCUCUUGAACUAUCUCCCCUAAAGUAGCUAAAAUGCUAGGAGUAUGUAUUUGUAGUCUAACUGUUUAAAAAAAAAUGAGGAUGUUUGGUUAAGUUGUAAUGCUGGGAAUGCUCAAGAUUACUUAGCUCGCUAACUUAUAAAUGUUGAGAGUCUAGUAAUCAUGGCUGUACCUAUUUGUUUCUUGAGGUAUGAUAUGUAGUUUUCAACAGUAAGUUGUCAAGGUUCCUCCUUAAGUUUGAUUUAAGUGCGGCUGAGAUUUUUUUUUUUUUUCAAUUUAAAGUCUCAUGCUAGUAGUCUGGCAGUGAGUAUGAAUCAAAAAAAAAAAAAAAAAGAGAAAAGAAAACUUCCCUGUUGAAUGCUACUACUUGUUUACAUUUUAAAAAAAAAAGAACUGGAAUCUGUGUUUACUCUUAGUUAGAUAAGUUCCGACUUCCGAGUGUUCAAAUGACUAUGUUCUCAUAAUCUCUAAAACAGUUAAAACUCAUCCCAAUGGACCAGUUGCACUUAAAAGAGGUUAAUUAGCAUGGAAUUGUACUGUUCUUGUGUGGUUUGAUUAAGGUUUGAGGUUACUGUAAUUGUUGUUUGGCUAUGUAUCCUUGCUCGUGAACACUUGCACAGUAUCAAGGGAUCCAAAAAAAUCUAAAUCUGAUAGAAUAGAACAUUGGAUUAGAUAGCUGCUUUGUGUCAUGUUUUAAAACAAAAGUUGGAACUUUGACAUCCCUUUCUUGGGAAAAAUGUAGCAGAACAUGUCACUCUAGUUUUGAUCAUAGCUUAAGUUUAUUUUAGGAAAUCUGCUGAAGCGUGAGGCAUCAUCUUCCUGAUUUCUCAUCCUUACUUCAAUUCUUUAAAGUGACUAAUAUUUGAUUUUCCUUUCCAGAUUGUUCUCUUUCAUUAUUAUGUACUGUUAUGUUUCAUAGACUCUCUUAAAGUUGUGGGGUAACAAAAUAUGAGUCUGUUGGAUGCAAGCAUGAAGGAUUUCUUUUAGCUCUACAUCUACCUGAUUCAAAAUGUGAACAUUCUAUUGAAUUUAGGAAUGUGGCUGUUUCUUAUUAGACCUUUGAAUGAUGUUGGAAUUACGUUAAUCACCCCUCUCUUAAAAGAUCAAAGGGGAAGUCCUAUUUGAAUUCUAGAAAUCUCUUAAUAGGCUUACUUCAUCUCAAACAGCGUGUUGUGCUUACCAGUUGAUUUAAUGUGUUAUUACGUAACUCUAAUCCUUUUCUUUUCUUUCUUUUUACAUGAACACCAUGGGAGCUUGUUGGAGUUGUGGCUCAACUCUAAUUCUGCCCAGGUCAUAGGAGCAGUCAGCAGCAGAUUAGCCGUCCUCUACUUUCGCGUCAAAAGAAUCCACGUCCCUCUUCCUCCCUUAAAAUUUUAUAUCUUUUGUAUUACUAUAUGUUAUUCGCACCCUUUGACUAACAUCUUUUAUGGGUUUGUAUUUGUAGUAUUUUGUUUCUUGCUUGUUUGUGAACUCGUGAAUGGUCGAGCCUUGUCAUUGGCCACUUUUCCUUAGAUAUAAAUCGUGGUUUAAGGAUAGCUUAGGAUAAAGAAGUGACAAACGUCCCUUUAACUUUGCGUAUUUCACAGGUUGUAAACAUUUUCUAACUAAUAGAUAAGGUUGAUUUUUUUUUUCUUUAAAAGUUAACUGACAUUUCUAUUUAAAUCCGUUUUAACAAAAAUUAGCGAUCUAAAUAGGGUUUCAAAAAGGUAAGAUGCAUAUUUCAUGGGCAAUCAUUUUCUAUUUAAUUCUAACAUAUGGAGCAGGUUAGAUUCUUUGAGUUUAAUUAAGAACUUUAUAUUAGGGCUCAAGUAUAGUGGCCAAAGUUAUUUUACAAGAGCUACAAGGUACAUAUUCUAUUUUUUUUUAAUAUACAUAUAUAUACUAUUUUUUUUUUUUAAUUAAAUCAUCCAAUCAUCUUUACACUAUGUGUGUACUUUUAUAUAUAUAUAUAUAUAUAUAUAUAUAUAUAUAUAUAUAUCACGGUACUUAUACAUAUUAUAUUUUCCAUGGCUAUUUCUAAAAGUAUAACUCUCUAUACUAUUUUUACAUGCAAUAAACAUACUUCAUGUAUAUAUUAUUUUCUCAUAAAAAAUAUGUAUUUUCAUACUCUACAUUAUAUAUACUGUCCUUAUAUACAAUAAUAAUAUUUAUACCUAAUCUUCAGAAAAUACACAUGUACUCUUUUUAUAAAUAAUAUACAUCCCUAGUACAUAUAAUUUUACAACUCGUAUUAAUUACUUUCCUUUACAAUGAGUAUACCUACACACUAUUAUUUUUAACACGUACCAUACCUAUACUACCUUAUUUCCAUCAAUUCCCUUGGUCGUCUCUACAUAUAUGCAUCUAUAUAGUACUAUCAUGUCAUCAAUACUAUUUUUUUUAGUUACCCAUGAUAUACAUAUCACGUAUAUACGUUAUUUUCUUAUAAUUAAUAUAUAUAUAUAUAUAUAUAUAUAUAUAUAUAUAUAUAUAUAUCCUCUUAUUCUAUAUUAUACAUACUACUCUUGGAUAAAACAAAUGUCCUACAUAUUUUUCUCAUGCGCACAUUAGCAUUAACUACUUCCUUUAUAUAUAUGCGUUUACUCACAUAGUUACAAUUACCUUAAAACCCCCUUUUUUAUACAAAUAGUUUUGAGAGAGUAGUUUUUUUCCCGCAAUUCUUUAAAUAGGUGAUAAUAAAUAAGAAAUAAUUAGAUAAUCCCCCUCUAGUAUUAAUUAAGCUAGGUUUAAAGACUGUCUUCGGAUAGGCUCUGAGGGAUACUUAACACCUUCCCCUCGGGGUAAAUAAAACGCUUACCUAGAAUCUCACAGGUUUCAAAGACUAAAAAAUGGAGUUUACUUUUUUUUUUUUUUUUUUACAAAUGGUUUCCUAAUAUUUCCUAAAAUUAGGUGGCGACUCUGAAAAUUUGCAAAACCAGAGGAAACAUAGUCAUAAGUUGUGAACUAGUUUUAAUCCGUUAAAAAUAGGGCAAGACACUUAGUAUGACUAUCUGUAUUAUGAUCUUCUAUGUUCAAACUGUAAUUGAUGAGGGAGUCUAAUUUAUUGACUGACUGGCUUGGGGGUUAGAAGUUCCAUCUAGGCUUCUGAACUGAGUGGUGAGCAUUUCAUUGUACUUAUGCUUAAAGUAAAGUUGUGUUGAUUUGUUGGUUACGGAUGGUUGGUUAUGGUCAUUACCCCCUUAUGAUUAUCAUUGUUGAGUUUGACAUUUAUGCAUCCAUCUCAUUCCCCAUUGCUCAUGGUUACUUGAUAUGGUUCUAAUGGAAACAAUGGUAAAAGUGAUAUGGCUUUGAUGACGAAAGAUUUAUGGCAACAAUGAUAAAGAAAUAUGGUAAAUUAAUGAAAGUAUUGUGUGAAUCCGUGAUCCGAGGUUGUUACCAGAGCGGAUGGUAUGUGUACUCGUGAUCCGAGGGUUCAUUCCGGAGCGAGUGGUACAUGGACUCCGCGGGCCCCCCAUGGGUCAUGACUAUCGAGACGUCAAGAUUCCGUCUAUAGCAUAUGUGUACAGGUUGAGAUACUGGCCAUUGCAUUGCAUUUCAUCACAUUCAUAUGCAUUGCAUUUUCCUUAUUAUGGUUUUCCCUUAUCUUGUCCACUCCUUAGUUGUGUAAUGUGUAAAGUGAUUGUCGGUUACAUAGUAAACAUCUUGGUGAGAUGAACAUAUAUAUAUAUAUAUAUAUAUAUAUAUAUAUAUAUAUAUAUAUAUAUAUAUCAAGGUUUAGAAUUUAGAUAGGGAUAUGAUCUGAGCAUAGAGAGACCCUUUUUUUUUAUUAAGUAUUGUGACUCGUUGAGUUGUUUUAUGGACUUUCUUGUUUGUUUCCUAUCAUAUUCAUCUGUUGAUUUCCACUUGUUAUAUAUGUCUUACUAAUCGUUGUCGGCAUAUGAUGCUUACCAGUAUGUGUGUUGUACUGAUACUACUCUUGCUACACCCUUCUUGGGGUGUAGAGUUUGUUACAGGUUAAAAUUUGAGAUUCCGUUAAAUUCUGAGGAUCUCACCGAGUUCAUUACAAGAUUUCUGUUAAUUCUCAUUCUAGAAGUUGUACUUAGUUUGAGGUUCUUAUCCGAGUUUGAGUAGUGGACGAGCUCCCGCCGACCGUUGAGGCAUUUCUUGGAGUUUAGGGUGAGUUAUUGUUUGUUCCACAGCACUGGACUCCAUUUCUAUCUUACUUUUAUGUUUUUACCUUUCGGACAGUAUUUGUAGUAUUCUAGACUUGUAUUUCGGAUUUAGCAGCUCUUGUACUUAUGAAUUCCAAGUUUUGAGCAGAUGUAUGACUUAAGACUUAUUUAUAUUAUGAGUUAUAAGACCUAUUAUU